rnacentral:tRNA from 10 species
GGGCUUGUAGCUCAGGUGGUUAGAGCGCACGCCUGAUAAGCGUGAGGUCGCAGGUUCAACUCCUGCCAAGCCCA